rnacentral:rRNA from 1 species
CCUACGGGUGGCAGCAGUGGGGAAUAUUGGGCAAUGGGCGCAAGCCUGACCCAGCGACGCCGCGUGAGGGAAGACGGUCUUCGGAUUGUUAACCUCUUUCAGCAGGGAAGCCAAAAGGACGGUACCUGCAGAAGUAGCCACGGCUAACGAAGUGCCAGCAGCCGCGGUAAUACGUAGGUCGCAAGCGUUAUCACGAAUUCCUGGGUGUAAAGGGUGUGUAGGCGGGUUUGAAAGUCAGAGGUGAAAAUUAUGGGCUCAACCCAUACCCUGCGGCUGAAACUAGAGGUCUUGUGAUGGGGAGAAGUAUACGGAAUUCCCGGUGUAGCGGUGAAAUGCAUAGAUAUCGGGAAGAACACCAGUGGCGAAGGCAGUUUACUGGACCACAACUGACGCUGAGACACGAAAGCGUGGGGAGCGAACAGGAUUAGAUACCCGAGUAGUC